CCCACGCCCGCUCCGGCCCCUCGGGUCAGCCCUCCCCUCCCUUCCCCUCCCCUCCCCCGCCCGCGCGUGUCUCGGCGAUGGGCCGUGUGCAUGUGUGAGCCCGCACCCCCGCAGGACCGUCCCCUUUUGUUCCGCCCUGACCUCUACCUUGCACUGACCCGGCUGGGGGUGCGGGAGCGUCUGCAGGCACAGCCCAGAGCAGGGAGGGGCUCAAGGUGCACGGCUCGAGGUGGUUCCUCGGUAACUCUGCAUCGCCUCUGGUCCCUCCCUCCCUCCCCCUCUCCCUCCCUCUCUCCUCUCAAGAUCUCCCUUCCUGCUAAGUCUGCACUGCUGCGGGAGGGCUGGGGGAAGGGCAGGGUGCGGAGGGGGUGCGCGGUGUCUUCUUUCUCUUCGCCUGCCCCCCACCCCCAAGUGCGGACGCCUCGGGAGCUCUGGCCUCCCCCACCCCUGCAUUCGCGAUUGGCUCCGGGAGAAGGUGGAUGGUGCUGGUGCAGCUGCAGCAUCUCCCUGGGAGCCACGCGGGCGCAUCGUACCGGGAGCCGCGACCCUGCGCCCGCUGCUGCUGCUGCCACCAGCCCGGCCGGAGGGGCUCCGCGGCACCCAGCAACGCAUGAGGCCCUUCUUCAGCAUCCCACCGCUCAGCCGCGGGCCUCACCCUGGCCAUGGCGAGACCUCUGCCCGUGCGCUCCUGAUGCCCCUGGGCCCAGGCUGGGGGUGGUGGGCCCUCCAAUGGCGGGCACCUGUCCCGGAGGCCACACUGCUCCCUGUCAGACUCUCCGUGGUUCCGACUCCCGGAUUCGGGGUGGCCGGAGAAGUUGGUGGGGAAGAGGGGCUUCUUCUCCAUCACAGGCAAAUUCUGAAAUGCAGUGAAAAACAGUAUCGCUAUAAUUAAGUGUUCCAAAGCGCUUAGCUUGCCACUUGCUAAGUUUACUUAACCCUCUUUAACGGGUUCAUUAGAAGCCGGUGAGCACCGGGAAAUUCAUCAACAGGAAGGCGGCCCCUGCGUUUGCCUGUAAA